rnacentral:rRNA from 1 species
ACAGAGGUUGCAAACGUUGUUCGGAAUUACUGGGCAUAGAGCGCACGUAGGUGGUUCGCUAAGUCGGAUGUGAAAUUCCCCGGCUCAACCGGGGAACGGCAAUCGAUACUGGCGGACUUGAGGUCCGGAGGGGUGAGUGGAACUCCUGGUGGAGCGGUGAAAUGCGUAGAUAUCAGGAGGAACACCGGUGGCGAAAGCGGCUCACUGGCCGGAAUCUGACACUGAGGUGCGAAAGCUAGGGUAGCAAACGGGA